GUACAUGACUACAACAUAGCGUUAAUGCAUCGAAUCCCAUAAGAACUUCGUAGGUAAGCGCGCUCGGGCUAGAGUAGUACUGGGAUGGGUGACCGCCCGAGAAGUCCUAGUGUUUUACAUG
rnacentral:rRNA from 1 species